CAAAAUGGGAGGUAAAUUUCUCCUAAGGCUAAAUAUUGGCGAGAGACCGAUAGCGAACAAGUACCGUGAGGGAAAGAUGAAAAGAACUUUGAAAAGAGAGUUAAACAGUACGUGAAAUUGUUGAAAGGGAAACGAUUGAAGUCAGUCAUACUAACGGGAAAUCAACCUAUUUGAGUUGUGAAUUUUGGAUUUUGAAGAGUGUAAACCAUCUUGUUCAAAUAUUUGCGCUUGUUGGGCGUAAUUUCUCGUUCGGUAGGUUAACAUCGAUUUUGAAUAUUAUAAAAUGACUGGAGGAAUGUAGCUUCGAUCUCGUAUUGAAGUGAUAUAGCCUUUGGUAGAUGUAAUGAUCAAGAUCGAGGAUUGCAACGAAUACCCUUUGGGCUAUCCGUCUGAUCUCUGAUACGUUGCCUUGGUAACGAAAGCUUGCUUACGGUAUUGAGGCAUAACGGUCAAAAGGUUAGAACGUGAUUACA
rnacentral:rRNA from 1 species